rnacentral:rRNA from 1 species
AGUGAACGCUGGCGGUAGGCCUAACACAUGCAAGUCGAACGGCAGCACAGUAAGAGCUUGCUCUUACGGGUGGCGAGUGGCGGACGGGUUAGGAAUACAUCGGAAUCUACUUUUUCGUGGGGGAUAACGUAGGGAAACUUACGCUAAUACCGCAUACGACCUACGGGUGAAAGCAGGGGAUCUUCGGACCUUGCGCGAUUGAAUGAGCCGAUGUCGGAUUAGCUAGUUGGCGGGGUAAAGGCCCACCAAGGCGACGAUCCGUAGCUGGUCUGAGAGGAUGAUCAGACAGACUGGAACUGAGACACGGUCCAGACUCCUACGGGAGGAAGCAGUGGGGAAUAUUGGACAAUGGGCGCAAGCCUGAUACAGCCAUACCGCGUGGGUGCAGAAGGCCUGCGGGUUGUAAAGCCCUUUUGUUGGGAAAGAAAAGCAGCAGGUUAAUACCCCGCUGUUCUGACGGUACCCAAAGAAUAAGCACCGGCUAACUUCGUG